rnacentral:tRNA from 1 species
GCUCCCAUAGUCUAGACCGGCCAAGCUUCCCGCCCUUGCGGGGCAGGAAGAAGCCGAGAGGAUCCCGCCCUUUCAAGGCGGUGACUCGGGUUCAAAUCCCGAUGGGAGCACCA